rnacentral:rRNA from 1 species
ACCAGACUCCUACGGGAGGCAGCAGUGGGGAAUAUUGCACAAUGGGGGAAACCCUGAUGCAGCAACGCCGCGUGAGUGAAGAAGUCAUUCGUGAUGUAAAGCUCUAUCAGCAGGGAAGAAAAUGACGGUACCUGAGUAAGAAGCCCCGGCUAACUACGUGCCAGCAGCCGCGGUAAUACGUAGGGGGCAAGCGUUAUCCGGAUUUACUGGGUGUAAAGGGAGCGUAGACGGCCAGACAAGUCUGAAGUGAAAAUCCAGCGCUUAACGUUGGAAGUGCUUUGGAAACUGUAUAGCUGGAGUGCAGGAGAGGUAAGUGGAAUUCCUAGUGUAGCGGUGAAAUGCGUAGAUAUUAGGAGGAACACCAGUGGCGGAGGCGGCUUACUGGACUGUAACUGACGUUGAGGCUCGAAAGCGUGGGGAGCAAACAGGAUUAGAUACCCGCGUAGC